AGGAAAGGAAAGGAAAUCAGCCUGCCCCCGCACGACAAAUCCCAUCUCCACCUCCUGCCACGCCCUUCACCGCGCGCCGCCACCGCCCACCCCGUCGGCGCACUUGCCCCGACCAGACCGGCUUCACGGGGAUGAAGCUCGAGCACACCUUCUGGAUCGGCUCAACGCGGCGGGUCGAGCGGUUGGGGGUGGCACGGCUGCUCGAUGUAGAACGGCGGCGGCGGCGGCGGCUGGAGUUUGCAGGGGGCGGAUCCGUGCGUGGCAGGGGCUGGGGAGCCUGAUCCGAAGGCGGGCGACGAGGCGGGGGUCGCCGUUGACGACGAGGAAGGCCAGAGCGAGGGAUCCGGCGACCUAGCCAGGAGCUCGCCGGAGCCGGGCGACGGAGGGCGGGCGCGCGAGACGGAUAGAUCCGGCGCGGCGGCGCGAAUUCCUUGCAGGUAGAAGCAGCAGCAGAAGGAGGAGGAUGGGAAGGCUGUAGCCACCGCAGAGAAGAACGAGAUUGGAAAUGCUCUUCAGCAGCCUGUUCUAUGACUCGGCAUCAUCGGAGAACUUUUCUGGUCAUCCCGGUGUUGAGAGAUGCCCAUUCCUGAGGAACAUCAAUGGAGCCACAACCUUUUCAUUUUCUUCUGCUUUGCCUGUAUCUGCUCGGGGAAGCAAGGGCCUGAUCUUUGAGGAUGGACCAGGCUUUGAGUCGGCAUUCAAGCUUUUCCAUGGACAGGAUGGGAUAGUUCCCCUUUCAGGAAGAUCAUAUGUGCCUGAUGAGAACCGUAGUGAGAUCACUGAUGUCAAUCCUGAACCUGCUCUGCCCUUUAAUCCAUUUGCUGCAAGAGCCGCUACCAUAAGUCUAUCAACAUUUGGACCAUUCGGGUUUAACUUCUAUAAUGGCAAGGGCAAAAAGCAGAACAAGAAGCCCAACAAUCUAGACCAGUCACACAAGAAGCCCAACAAGCCAGAUCAGAAUUCCAUGAAAGCAAGAGGCAGAAGCUGGAGCGACAGCCGUGGUGCCGUGGAAGUGGCGAGUCAUGGAGGCAGAGUUGGUCAGUGCAAAGUUGUGCGAAGCGAAGCCAGGCUACGCAGACAAGCAGGCCGAGGGCGAAGGCGGUCGGGUGCCACAGAUGGAGGCGCUGGGACAGGGUGGUGAGGUGAAGAGGACGGGGUCGAGAGCAGCUACAGUGCGUGCAUCUGUCCCCUCCUUUGUUUUUUCACCAAGCCUACCUAAAAUCUAUCAAAUUAUUCAGGAAGGUGAUGUCCUGAAGCAUCUAUCAACAUGGAUUAUAGACCGAAUUAUCAACAAGUAUGGUGUUAGCCAGUGUUACCGUGCUCUAAAACUAUGCAAUAGUGAUCUCAAAGAACCAUAAAUAUCCAACAUAGUGGUGGACUUUGGCAUUUUGUGUUUCUGUUAUGACUUUCCUUUGAAUAUUUUGUUAAUUUUCUAAUUAAUCUUUCCUUACCAGCACUGUCAGAGUGUGAUUCAUUAUAGAAAAUUUGAUUGAAGAUCUCAAUGAUGGCAAUUCUUUACAUAUGUAUAGUUGUUCAGCUCCUGCUUUCUGAAACUAUACAGGAAAUUUGAUUGAAGAUAUGAUUGAUGGCGAUUCUAGGUACAGUUGUUCAGCUCCUGCUUUCUGACCCAUCAAAUAUUUUGAAAAGUGUUUGCUCCAUCAGAUUCACAUAAAAAGAAAUUGCACAACUGCAUCAUGGCUGUCCAGUAUAUGAAGGAAGCUCCGGUUCUGAUAUCUGAUGCAGAUGCAGUCAGAGUUUCAGCAGAAUAUAUUCUUAAUGGCGACAAGGAACUAAUUCUUGCAUUUCUAUGGAAUAUGUUCAUUCAUAUGCAGGUUAAUCUACACAUGUCGUUCAGUAUCUCAUUACUCAUGUUGAAGUUUUAUACUGUUUUAUUUCACCUUUCGUUUGUACUGAAGAGGUGGACUAAUGGACUGACUCUUGUAUUUUUCACUCACUGCAUAGGCAGCAUUACAGUAGAGAUAUGUUGUACUUCUCAGCAUUAUGUUCUUCCCUCAGUCUGUUACUAAUUAUUAUGUUCUUUCCUCAGUCUAAUUAGUUAGUGUUAGUUGCCUAAAUCAGAAGGGCCGCGGUAGCGAAUUUAGAUAUAUUAAAACUGAGCACCCUCCCAGCCCUCACAGACCAUCAACGUUACUAUCAACGUUUUUGGCCGUCAGAUGUACACUUCUGGAUGUUUAUGACCAUUGGAUGUGAUGCUAAUCCCGCUUGGGCUUCCUUGGCGAAAAGAGGUCGCUGGAUGGGCUAGGACGCUGCUCCCGUAACAAAAUCGGAGCUCCUCGGUUAUUUGGGCCUGUGGGCUUUAUCAUCCGCGAGCAACAAAACUGAUGGACAAUGCAGCGUAGGCAGCCAUGAGCCUCACGAGUGGCCCGACAGAGAAAGGUGCAGAACCGAUUGGGAGACCACAAGCCGGGGAGAUGAUGGGGCAACGAAACGAACCGAUUGGGAUUUGGGAGUCCACUCGCCGGCAUUUGUGGAAAUAAAUUGUCAUUGCCACAGGUCUUUAAUGGCAAUCAAUGUGCAUCGCCGCCGGCCAAUUAUGUCACGACGGUUACCAUGCCCCUUCAUGUUCUUUUUUCACCCCACGCACGCCCAUACAGUAUGCACCAUCUCGUUGUUCCUUCCCCACUCUUCUUCAUCAAUCAGUAUUCGAAGAGGCAGGUGGAUACCGGGGGUGCUUGCGAUGAACUCGCGACGCCUUUCCUUCCUUUAUGAAUUCGUGAUAUAGUAGCAAAGUUUGACCAUGUACUAAUUGAUUCCAGACUCCAACUCACUGCGCCAAUCCAGGCUGCCAUCGUUUCCCUGUCCAAAUCCACUGCCGCAUCGCGGUCCCUCCCGGACACUCUUUGCGGCAACGUGUUGGCGACUGUCGUCCAUGGGGAGAGGAACUCCCGGUGGCGCAGGCAAAGAGGACGUGUUUAUCUGGUACUUUAGUACAGAGUUCAAUAAUCGUUGAUUAUGCUUAUUAUUUUUGGAUUCGCAACGCUGGGAACAUAGCUCAGUGCAUGGGUUUCAACUGGCCCAGUCCCUAUUUUCUUGUGUUUCUCAAUCUUCUCUCCCUGCUGGAUCUUAGCCUCGACUGUGUAAGCUCGACUCCACCUCAUUUUAUUGUUCGCCUGUUUGGUUCGUCAGUAUUUGAUUGAUCUUUGUGGAUUGUGUCUGUA